AUAUUAUGACCACCGAUUCGUCACCGCAAUGGUAAACUUUUAGAUCUCAAUAAUAUAUACGUACAAAAUGGACGUCACAUCACGCGAGAAAUUGUUUUAUCACCAUAGUCAUAUAUAGGUAACCCAUUAAUAAAAAUGAAGCUUAAUAAUAUCGUAGCUUCUAAUUUGGAUCAAAUAUCCACCCCCAUACUCUGUACGCCGAAAUAUCAAAUUACCUUGCAGAAAAUAACGGAAGUUUUCGUUAUGCGCAGAAACUUUUGACGUUACUUCAUC